rnacentral:lncRNA from 1 species
GCUCCGUCACGUGGUGCGUUUUGCCUGCGCGUCUUUCCACUGGGGCCGGGGCGGCGCGGAGGGUUCAGACGCGGGCUCUUACUCAAACGCUGAUCCCCGAAACUACCGAGCAGUGUCUGCGCGACGCGAAAGCAUUUUUGGAGCGAGGGGCCAUGGUGCCCAUGGGAUUCCCACGGGUGUUGGACUCGGGACCCCGAAAAGGUUGCGAGUCGCUGGUUGGACCCUUCCCUGCGCGGGGACCCGAGAGACGUGACCCUAGCGAGGCCUGGGGCCACCCACUGUGGGCUGGAAGGGGCCGACAGGGGUUGCGGCGGGGGAUCGUGGGGAGGGUUGGCCAGGGCGCGCCUUCAGCUUCCCCUCGGCUUCUCGGAACUAGCUCUCUGCAUUCGGAGCCAAGGCGAUGAGGGUGUCUGCUUUGGGACGCAAACUUCCAGUAGUGGUGGAAGUCUGGGAAGGGUCACCACCGUUUGAGCCAACAUUUAGAAAGAGCCAGGCGCUUAACCUAAAUGGUAUCAUUUCCCCCAUUUUGCAGUUUAGCAAACAGGCUCUGGGAGGUUAAACCAUCUGCUCCAGUGAUCCUGCCACUGGUUAAAGUAGUUGGGAUUUGGAUGCGAGUCUGGUUUCAAAGACUUUUUUUUUUUUUUUUUUUUUUUUUUUUUACGCAGUGGAGUUUGGAAAAGAUUUGAGACCACAAGUGCAGCCUCCGCUUUCCUUGUUAGAGUUACUCCAGAAGCCCUGACCAGCUCAGACUUUCCUUCCUACUUCCAUUCCUUCAACAAAUAUUGAACAUCUGUGGUGUCAGCACCCGGGCUUCAGGGAUGCGUGAGUGGGCAGGGUUGCUAUGGUCAUGGAGCUCGGUUCCAGCAGGGGAGCCAGGCAGACAUGAAAGAGCCCUCUGGAUGCCGAGACGUGUGCUGUGAAAGUGUGGCAUAGAAAGUGCCUGGGGGAUGAUGGCCACUUCAGUGGGGCAAGAGAGAAGGUGACAUUGGAGCUGUCAUUGAUGAUAACGGCGGCAGCGCUGAGGGGACGGGGACCGAGAUCCAGGCAGAGGACCUUGCAACCACCUGACUCAGUGUCACCCAUCUGGGCCAGCCCUUCCCGGGAGACCACUGUGGUGGUAGUUGCUGCUCCCAGCAGUGCUGUGGCUCAGUACUGAGAGAGGGGAGGGACCUGGGGAGCCACUGCCAGGGAGUUCGGGCUUUGGAGGCUUGAGUUCUCCCCACUCGGUACGCCUCUUAAGUGAAAUGGAAGUCAUUUGACUAGCUUCUCAUCUGACCUUACUAAAUAAGCAGUAGGCAAACGCAAACCUCAGAAUGCUAAUAUGGCCUUUACUGAGUGAAAAGAGCUAAUUUGGACAAUGAUGUUUACCUCAGAUUUACAAAAGAGAAUUGCAAAUAACCAAAAAGCACAUUAACAUGGAUGGGAGAUGAUGCUAAUCUUCAAUUAGCAUCCACAUUUUUAUUCAUUUAUUUAGAACAGGUAGGGCUGGUGGUUUCAUAAAUGCCUUAUUGUGGAAACUAGCAUGAGAUACACCUAGUUAUUGGUUCAACAUUUCUGGCUACAUGAGCAUGUGUUACUUUGAGCCAGAGGUAGAUUUUUUGUUGUUGUUUGUUUUUUUGAGAUGGAGUCUCGAUCUGUCACCCAGGCUGGAGUGCAGUGGUGCAAUCUCAGCUCACUGCAACCUCUGCCUCCUGGGUUCAAGCAAUUCUCCUGCCUCAGCCACCAUGCCAGGCUAAUUUUUGUAUUUUCAGUAGAGACGGGGUUUCACCAUGUUAGCCAGGCUGGUCUGGAACUCCUGACCUCAGGUGAUCCACCCACCUUGGCUUCCCAAAGUGCUGGGAUUACAGGCGUGAGCCACCAUGUCUGGACUCUUUUUUUUUGAGAUGGAGUCUCACUUUGUCACCCAGGCUGGAGUGCGGUGGUGUGAUCUUGGCUCACUGCAAUCUCUGCUUCCUGGGUUCAAGAGAUUCUCCUGCCUCCACCUCCCAAGUAGCUGGGACUACAGGCUCACUAUCAUGCUGGGCUAAUUUUUUUUUUUUUUUUUUUUUUUGAGUCAGAGUCUCGCUCUCUUCAGCAGGCUGGAGUGCAGUGGCAUCAUCUUGGCUCACUGCAACCCCUCCUCCCAGGUUCAAGCGAUUCCCCUGCCUCAGACUCCUGAGUAGCUGGAACUACAGGUGUGUGCCAUCACCCCCGGCUAAUAUCUGUGUUUUCAGUAGAGACAGGGUUUCGCCAUGUUGGCUAGGCUGGUCUCAAACUCCUGACCUCAAGUGAUCUGCCUGCCUCAGCCUUCCAAAGUGCUGGGAUUAAAGGCGUGAGCCACCGCGCCCCGCCAAUUUUUUGUCUGUUUUUUCUUGUCGAGCAAUUUUGCAGAGGAGAAAGAUCUGAGUUCUAGUUCUCAUUCCACCUGGAACUGUUUGUGACCUUGGCCUGCUCCCUGUACCUCUCUGUCUCUGGUUCUGUUUUAGCUUCUGCAAAGUGAGGAAACUACCCUAGAGAUGAUCCUUGACAUUUUUCAGCAUUGAAAUGCUGGCAUUCUUGCAGCUGGAUAACUGAAGGACGUUUUUGGAUAAUUGUAAUUUUCUGAUAUUCUGCAUUCUCCCAG